GACGAACGCUGGCGGCGUGCUUAACACAUGCAAGUCGAACGGAAAGGCCCUGCUUUUGUGGGGUGCUCGAGUGGCGAACGGGUGAGUAACACGUGAGUAACCUGCCCUUGACUUUGGGAUAACUUCAGGAAACUGGGGCUAAUACCGGAUAGGAGCUCCUGCUGCAUGGUGGGGGUUGGAAAGUUUCGGCGGUUGGGGAUGGACUCGCGGCUUAUCAGCUUGUUGGUGGGGUAGUGGCUUACCAAGGCUUUGACGGGUAGCCGGCCUGAGAGGGUGACCGGCCACAUUGGGACUGAGAUACGGCCCAGACUCCUACGGGAGGCAGCAGUGGGGAAUAUUGCACAAUGGGCGGAAGCCGGAUGCAGCAACGCCGCAUGCGGGAUGACGGCCUUCGGGUUGUAAACCGCUUUCGCCUGUGACGAAGCGUGAGUGACGGUAAUGGGUAAAGAAGCACCGGCUAACUACGUG
rnacentral:rRNA from 1 species